rnacentral:rRNA from 1 species
AGUGAACGCUGGCGGUAGGCCUAACACAUGCAAGUCGAACGGCCGCACAGUAAGAGCUUGCUCUUACGGGUGGCGAGUGGCGGACGGGUGAGGAAUACAUCGGAAUCUACUUUUUCGUGGGGGAUAACGUAGGGAAACUUACGCUAAUACCGCAUACGGCCUACGGGUGAAAGCAGGGGAUCUUCGGACCUUGCGCGAUUGAUUGAGCCGAUGUCGGAUUAGCUUGUUGGCGGGGUAAAGGCCCACCAAGGCAACGAUACGUAGCUGGUCUGAGAGGAUGGUCAGCCACACUGGAACUGAGACACGGUCCAGACUCCUACGGGAGGCAGCAGUGGGGAAUAUUGGACAAUGGGCGCAAGCCUGAUCCAGCCAUGCCGCGUGGGUGAAGAAGGCCUUCGGGUUGUAAAGCCCUUUUGUUGGGAAAGAAAAGCAGCAGGUUAAUACCCCGCUGUUCUGACGGUACCCAAAGAAUAAGCACCGGCUAACUUCGUG